AGCAAAAGAUAUUAGUGAAGGUGCAAAUGCACUGUGACAAAUGCAGAACCAAGGCGUUGAAGAUUGCAGCAUCUGCAUACGGUAUAUAUAUAUCCAUGAUCCAUCAAAAUUUCUUUCAACUUUUCCAGAUAUAUUAAUUGGAGUUGAUAACAUAAGCAGGUGUGAGCAAAGUGUCGAUAGAAGGAGCAAACAGGGAUCAUGUGGAGGUGAUCGGAGACGGUGUGGACUCGGUUUGCGUGACGGAGUUGCUAAGGAAGAAGCUUGGCUUCGCGGCCAUAGUUAAAGUUGAACAAGUGAAAGGAGAUAAAAAAGAGGAAAAGCCAACUGCAAACUAUGUACAGUAUUGUGCUCCGCAUCGUCCUCCAAUGUACUGUGAAGUGGUUCGCGAAUAUCCAGAGCCAACUUGCUCUAUCAUGUAA
rnacentral:lncRNA from 1 species